rnacentral:ncRNA from 1 species
AAGUACCUCCGAGUCCUCUGACGAGGAUAGGAGUAACGGCUGGUUGGCACAGCCAGCGGUUCGUCUGUUCGAUACUACGGAUGGGCAGUUCCUUCCACAAGAACAGGUGGCCCGCGAACCUUAAUAUCCCAAACGCGGUCGGGAAUCCUCGCCCUUCAGGGCGGGGA